ensembl:lncRNA
GAGCAAGUGAGCAGCUGCCCUAGUAAUAAGGCUUCAUUUGUUAAUUCUUCAGCCAAUAUGUAUCGAACAACUGCUCUGUGCCAAGCACUGUUCUAGGUAUUGGAGGCACAGCUGUAUUCAAAAGUUCUUGCCCUCAUGGGAUCUGCAGUUGCAGGAGAGAUAAUCACAAAACAAAUAAUUGUUGAUGUUUGGUCUGUUAGGACUUUGGAAAAACUUGCAAAGCAGGAAAAGGAGAAAUUGGAAUGAUAGCAGUCACCAUUGUAUGUGGAGUGGAGGCCCAGAGCUUUUCUAACAAGAUGAGGUUUAGUACAAAUGCUAUAUUAAAAUGCAGGCAUUGUGUCAGUUAGACUUCCCAGGCGGCUCAUUGGUAAAGAAUCCACCUACCAAUGCAGGAGAUUCAGGUUCAGUCCCUGGCUCAGGAAGAUCCUCUGGAGAAGGAAAUUCCAGUUUUCUUGCCUGGAAAAUCCCAUGAACAGAGGAGCCUGGCGGGCUAUAGUCUAUGGGGUCGCAAAGAGUCGGACACGACCGAAUGACUAAACAACAGCAACAUCUGCAGGAAGCAGGGGAGGGGAUCAUGCAGCUCCUUUGGGGAAAAGCAACCCAGGCAGAGAGAAAACACAGUGUACAAAGGAUUGUAGGCAGGAGCACUCUCGGUAUAUUCAUUUAAGAGGAGAAAGGGCAUGUGAGUGGGUGUGGCAUGGAGUGGAGAGGGUACAUGGUGGAGAUUAGUUCAGAGGCGUAGACUUGGUGUGGCUUGUAGAGCAUGAAGGGCCUUGCAGGGCAUUUUAAGACCCGUGAUUUCACUCUGAGUGAAGGGUUUUGAGCAAAGAAGUAAUACAAUCUGACUUCUGUUUUAACAAGAUUACUCUGGUUGCUGUGUUGAGGCUGACUUCAGUAGGACAGAGGUAGAAGCUGGGGAACAGAAGCUGGGAUUAUUGCAAUAAUCCAGGCAAGAGGUGAUGGUGGCUUAGAUCAGGGUGUAAGCCAUGGGAGAGACAAGAACAACAUGCUUUAUACAUUUUAUUUCUAAAGAAGAGCUGACAUGAUUAGCUAAUGAUUAGCUAAUGGGUGUGAGAGAAGGAGAAGAGCCAAAGAUGACAAUUUAUUUUAAUUAUUUAACAGAAAUUUGUAAGUGUGAAACUGUUAGUUGCUCAGUCAUGUCUGAUUCUUUGCAACCCCAUGGACUGUAGUCUGCCAGGCUCCUCUGCCAUAGAAUUCUCCAGGCAAGAAUACUGGAGUGGGUUGCAAUUUCCUUCUCCAGGGGAUCUUCCCUACCCAGGGAUCAAUCCCCAGUCUCCUCUACUGCACACAGAGUCUUUACCAUCUGAGCCACUUGGGAUAAAGAGUGUGAGAAAAAGAGAAAAGCCAAAGAAGAUGAUUUAUUUUAAUUAUUUAAGAGAAGUAUAUAUAGUGCUAAUUAUAUUACAAGGCACUGUUCUAAGUUCUUGACAAAUAUUGACUCGUUUAAUCUACGCAAUAGGCCCAUGAGAUAGGUACUAUUUUUGUCCUCCUUUUCCUGCCUUCAAGGUUUUGGCUCUGAGAAGCUGGAAGGAUAAAGCUGACAUCUACUGAGAGAGGGAAAGCUAUAUGAAGAGCAGGUUCAAGGUGAUAUGUUAAGGUCGAGAAGACUGAAAUAACUGUGUGAAGAUGCCAAGCAGGUGGUUGGUUAUGCAAGACUGGAGUUCAGGAGAGUGAUCUGGUUUGGUGAUACACAUGCAGUGAAAAGAUGUUAUUUAAAAACAGGAAACUAGAUGACAUCUCUAGGAGAGUAGAGAUUCAGCAGAGGGUGAAGCACCAAGCUUGGGGCCAUCCAAUAUUAAUGAGGACAUGAAGAUGAAGAAUCAAAGAAGACAGGCAAUGGCCAAAGAGCUUGGCAUCCUGGCAGCCAAGAGAAGAAAGUGAAGGAGAAGAUGGUGAGGAACCAUGUUAAAUGCCUCAGCUUCAUCCAGGAAGACAGAGCUCAGAAUUUAUUGGUUACUUUGAAAAGAGCUAUUUCAUUGAGUGGUAGGGAUGAAACUUGGUGUGCAAAUGAGGCAACAGAAAAGAAGAGGAGGAAAUGAUGAAUAAAGAGAACUCUUUUGAGACAUUUUCUAUAAAGAGGAAUAGAGGAAUAUGGCAAUAAUCAGAGAAUAGUAUAGGUAAAGUCAACAGAGGGUGUCUUAUUUUUUGUGGUUGUUGUUUUCUUUUGUUUUAAAAAUGGGUGAAAUUGCAGCAGAGUUGUAUGCAGAUGGAAAUGGUCCAGUAGAAAAGGAAAGAAAUGUUGAUACAGGAGAGAGGAGGUUAAAUGAUGUUAGUGAGCUGAUGAAAGAGGAUGAUAAAGUAUGGAGCUUGGACUUAGAUGGAAGCAGAGACCGUUCGUCUCUGAUAAAUGGAGGGAAGGCAGGAUAAAUAGUGAUAGAUGCAGUAAUGUGGGGAGUUGGGGGUUGACAUUUGUGGCCGUUCUCAUCUGAUUCCUUCUCUUUUUCUCAGUGAAACAGGGAAAAAGUCAUAAGCCAAAAGAGAUCAGAAGUAUUGGGGUUUUGAGGAGACCACAGCCAUGACAAGAUCAUCUAGGAAAAUGAGGACUAUUAUCCAAAACAUUAGCUCAACCGCAGGCCAGCCCAUGAUUACAGUCCCAUUACUGGGGUCCAGAAAAGUCUGAUUUUCAAGUGGACUCUAUUAAAAUGCAGAUA